CUUCCAGUCUGGAGGACAGCAGUAAACUGGAGCAGGAUCCACUGGCUGGAAGCUGGUAGAGGACAGCUGGGGUUUGGAAUAAGGUCCUGACUGUUGGAGUGACGUUCUGGAGGCAGCUUAACCUGCUCAGUUCCAGGCUAGGAAAACCUGCAAUAAGAAAGAAGUCCGUGUUGAACCGACCCUGCUGAGCUGCUUGACCCCAUGCACAAAUGAGUGAUGAUGGUGCAUGGCCCACCUCGAGGGACCUUACCCUGUUAUGAGCGCCUUGGGAGGGCUGAGAUGCAUGAAAAUUUACCCCAAAGCUCCAGUAAUUGCAGCGACCAAUGGGUGCAGCAGCAAAC